UACGUAGGUGGCAAGCGUUGUCCGGAAUUAUUGGGCGUAAAGCGCGCGCAGGCGGUCCUUUAAGUCUGAUGUGAAAGCCCACGGCUCAACCGUGGAGGGUCAUUGGAAACUGGGGGACUUGAGUGCAGGAGAGAAGAGUGGAUUCCACGUGUAGCGGUGAAAUGCGUAGAGAUGUGGAGGAACACCAGUGGCGAAGGCGACUCUUUGGCCUGUAACUGACGCUGGAGGCGCGAAAAGCGUGGGGAGCAAACAGG
rnacentral:rRNA from 1 species